UACAGAGACUGCAAGCGUUAUUCGGAUUCACUGGGCGUAAAGGGUGCGCAGGCGGUCGUGUGUGUCAGGUGUGAAAUCCCGGAGCUUAACUCCGGAACUGCGCCUGAAACUACACGACUAGAGCAUUGGAGAGGGAAGUGGAAUUCAUGGUGUAGCAGUGAAAUGCGUAGAUAUCGUGAGGAACGCCAGAGGCGAAGGCGACUACCUGGACAAUUGCUGACACUCAGGCGCGACAGCGUGGGGAGCAAACAGG
rnacentral:rRNA from 1 species